UACGUAGGGGGCAAGCGUUGUCCGGAAUUAUUGGGCGUAAAGAGCUCGUAGGCGGCCUGUCGCGUCGGUUGUGAAAGCCCGGGGCUUAACCCCGGGUCUGCAGUCGAUACGGGCAGGCUAGAGUUCGGCAGGGGAGACUGGAAUUCCUGGUGUAGCGGUGAAAUGCGCAGAUAUCAGGAGGAACACCGGUGGCGAAGGCGGGUCUCUGGGCCGAUACUGACGCUGAGGAGCGAAAGCGUGGGGAGCGAACAGG
rnacentral:rRNA from 1 species